rnacentral:rRNA from 1 species
GAUGAACGCUGGCGGCGUGCCUAAUACAUGCAAGUCGAACGCGCAGCGAAAGGUGCUUGCACCUUUCAAGCGAGUGGCGAACGGGUGAGUAACACGUGGAUAACCUGCCUCAAGGCUGGGGAUAACAUUAGGAAACAGAUGCUAAUACCGAAUAAAACUUAGUAUCGCAUGAUACAAAGUUAAAAGGCGCUACGGCGUCACCUAGAGAUGGAUCCGCGGUGCAUGAGUUAGAUGGUGGGGUAAAGGCUUACCAAGACGAUGAUACAUAGCCGAGUUGCGAGACUGAUCGGCCACAUUGGGACUGAGACACGGCCCAAACUCCUACGGGAGGCUGAAGUAGGGAAUCUUCCACAAUGGGCGCAAGCCUGAUGGAGCAACGCCGCGUGUGUGAUGAAGGCUUUCGGGUCGUAAAGCACUGUUGUAUGGGAAGAAAUGCUAAAAUAGGGAAUGAUUUUAGUUUGACGGUACCAUACCAGAAAGGGACGGCUAAAUACGUGCCAGCAGCCGCAGUAA